UUAAAAAGGAAAGAGCUAAGCUAGAAUUAGAAGCAUUAGAAAUUGAAAAAGAAGCAGAACCCAGCAAACAUGCCCGUGCGGGCCCACUGUGGGUAAGUGUGGGUUUACUGUGGGGCAGUGUGGGCAGGGCAAACCCACACUAAUCCCACAUGGGGCCCCUGUGGGUUAGCCCAUGUGGGGCCCGCAGCAGUUUUGCCCUUUUGGGCCCCCAUGAGGGUUUUCUGUGGGCAAGCCCACUGUGGGUUUACCCACACUAAUCCCACGUGGGCCCCAUGUGGGUUAGCCCAUGCGGGGCCCGCAGCAGUUUUGCCCUUUUGGGCCCCCAUGAGGGUUUUCUGUGGGCAAGCCCACUGUGGGUUUACCCACACUAAUCCCACGUGGGCCUCAUGUGGGUUAGCCCACGUGGGGCCCGCAGCAGUUUUGCCCUUUUGGGCCCCCAUGAGGGUUUUCUGUAGGCAAGUCCACUAUGGGUUUACCCACACUAAUCCCACAUGGGCCCCAUGUGGGUUAGCCUGUGCGGGGCCUGCAGCAGUUUUGCCCUUUUGGGCCCCCAUGAGGGUUUUCUGUAGGCAAGCCCACUGUGGGCUUACCCACAGAAAACCCACAUGGGGCCCCUGUGGGUUAGCCUGUGUGGGGCCCACAGCAGUUUUGCCCCUUGGGGCCACCAUGAGGGUUUACUGUGGACAACCCACUGUGUCAACAACACGGACAGUUAAAACGUUGUUUUAAGAUUAUAGACGCUCUAGGGCCCAGAGACUGACAGUAACUGACGGGCGGGAGCCGACGCACGUCAGUUUAUGGAGAGAGACGAACAGCAGCAGGAGACGCAGGCAGAGUGACGGAGCCGGGUUAAGAGACAGAGAAGUCCCCGGAACUGCCUGCACAUUAAAAGACUUACAUUUUUAUUGCUUUAUUAUUAUUUUUAUUACUUAGAAUAAAUCUCCCACAAUUGUCUGACCAGAGUUGUCUGUGCCUUCUUCUGGGGCUAAUAAUCCCCCUGUCACCCACAGUAUUCAAAACAUAUGAUCUUAGUUUAUUACUGCUACUUUCAACAAGUGCAAUUAUUCUGCAUAUGCAUUAAUAGUAAUGUUGUGGGUCUAUACUGCAGGUACAAAAUAGGCCCAAACUAAUUUUGUUAUUUGUUAAGAACCCACAGAGCAUGCCCACAGGGACACUGGAGAACUGCCCACACUUUGGGGAACACGGGCCCACAGUUUGCCCCACUGGGGCCCACACUCAGCCCUGGGCCCACAGGGGCAUGCUGCGGGCCCACAAUGGGCCCCAGUGGGGCCCACACUCAGCCCACAUUUUGGGCUGGGUGUGGGCUGUCCCACUGGGGACCCACCUGGGCCGCAUUUCACGCCGGUAACGGGGCCCACAGUGGGCUGCCCACUGUGGGCCCCAAUUUUCUGCCCGCAGUGGCCCCACACGGGCCCCAAAGGGGCAUGUUUGCUGGGAAGCCGCACGGGUGAAAGCAGAAGUUUUAGAAGCAGCUGCCGCUAUAGAAAUUGAAGAUCUGCAAAGCAUGAGAAGUGCUGUCGCACCGCACGUGAUAAAACAGCGCGCAGAGGAAUAUGUGCAAUGCCACUCACAGCUCAGCUCACAGUCUCCUGCUUUUUCUCCCUACAAUGGAGUCCGGCACAGCGAGAAUAACCCCACACAGCAGUCACCACCUGCAGCUGCUGAGGAGAAGCUUUCACGGAACGCCUUCAGACCACCAGUGAACGAACGUGCAGAAUGUGAGCAGUACCAAGUAGAGGUCAGCACCCAGCAUUCUGUCUUCCCACCUCACAGUGGAGUCAGGCGACGUGAAAUUGGUUGCUGCGACUUCGGACUGAUAUGAUGGUACGGGUCACAUAUACUUGAACACCAGAUGGAAGAGUCUGUGCCACAUAUUCCAAGUGUGCCUGUGGACACUCAUUCUUGUAGCGCUCUCCAGCCUUUGGCGAACAAACUGCCUUCUGCUACAGCCAAAUAUUUCAAAUUUUGAAAUCAGUCCAGAGACCCUGCUGCCAUUUUUCUGCACCCCAGUUCCUGUGUUUUCGUACAUAGUUGAGUUGCUGGGCCUUGUUUCCACGUCGGAGGUAUGGCUUUUUGGGCGCAAUUCUUCCAUGAAGACCACUGCUGACCAAACGUCUCCUCACAGCAGAUGGGUGUACCUGGGUCCCACUGGUUUCUGCCAAUUCUGAGCUGAUGGCACUGCUGGACAUCUUCCGAUUGUGAAGGGAAGUAAGCAUGAUGUGUCUUUCAUCUGCUGCACUAAGUUUCCUUGGCUGACCACUGCCUCUACGGACCUGAAUGUUGCUCGUUUCUUUGUGCUUCUUCAACAGAGCUUGGACAGCACAUCUGGAAACCGCUGUCUGCCUUUAAAUUUCUGCCUGGGAGAGACAUUGCUAAUGCAGUAUAACUACCUUGUGUCUUGUUACUGUGCUCAGUCUUGCCAUGGUGCAUGACUUCUGACAUUAAACUGUCCUCAGCAACCUCACCUUGGAAGCAGAGUUUGUCUGUUCCUCACCCAGGUUUAACCCUCCUACAUGCUGGUUUGAAGGCAAAGGGUGGUCACACCAAAUAUUGAUUUGAUUUAGAUUUGUCUUCUGUUCACUCACUUUGCAUUUUGUUAAUUGAUGAAAAUAAACUAUUAACAUUUUUAUUUUUGAAAGCAUUCUUACUUAACAGCAUUUUUUGACACCUGCCUAAACCUUUUGCACAGUAAUGUAUCUUUUUGGAAUGUUAAAAUCUACAAAUAUGUAAAAUGAUUAGAGAAGAAAGGUAAUUUAAACUGUAAGAAUGGGAAAAAUCAUUGGCUCAUUCCACUCACAAACCAUGAAAAUUGGUGAUGUGUUUUUGGUGCUGGUAAAAACAGAUUGCGCAAGUGUGAAUAAUAUCAGGAAAACAUAUAGGCUAAGCAAGUCCAAUUUUAUCUGGU